CCUACGGGAGGCAGCAGUGAGGAAUAUUGCACAAUGGGGGAAACCCUGAUGCAGCGAAGCAGCGUGAGUGAGGAAGUAUCUAGGUAUGUAAAGCUCUAUCAGCAGGGAAGAAAAUGACGGUACCUGACUAAGAAGCCACGGCUAACUACGUGCCAGCAGCCGCGGUAAUACGUAGGGGGCAAGCGUUAUCCGGAUUUACUGGGUGUAAAGGGAGCGUAGACGGUUAAUCAAGUCAGAAGUGAAAACCCGGGGCUCAACCUUGGGACUGCUUUUGAAACUGAGUAGCUAGAGUGCAGGAGAGGUGAGCGGAAUUCCUAGUGUAGCGGUGAAAUGCGUAGAUAUUAGGAGGAACACCAGUGGCGAAGGCGGCUUACUGGACUGUAACUGACGUUGAGGCUCGAAAGCGUGGGUAGCAAACAGGAUUAGAUACCCCUGUAGUC
rnacentral:rRNA from 1 species